UACGUAGGGGGCAAGCGUUGUCCGGAAUCAUUGGGCGUAAAGCGCACGUAGGUGGCUUGUUAAGUCGGGUGUGAAAUCCCUGGGCUCAACCCAGGAAGUGCACUCGAAACUGGCGAGCUUGAGUACUGAAGAGGGUCGCGGAAUUCCCGGUGUAGAGGUGAAAUUCGUAGAUAUCGGGAGGAACACCAGUGGCGAAGGCGGCGACCUGGGCAGAUACUGACACUGAGGUGCGAAAGCGUGGGGAGCAAACAGG
rnacentral:rRNA from 1 species